rnacentral:lncRNA from 1 species
AUUAAAAAUUCCAAUCCAUUAUGUAUUACCAGGCAUCAGAUGUCGGAUCGUCCAUGUUCGUCCACGUCUUUGGGGCGUACUUUGGUUUGGCUGUUAGUUUCGUUUUAUAUCGCGGCACGGCUUAUUGCGCUGACAGACAGUCCAGGAAAGACGAAGCCAACAGUGACUCAAUUGGCGAAACCCUUUCCACUGCUGUUGGCACUAUGUUUCUGUGGCUUUUGUGGCCUAGUUUCAACGCGUGUUUGGCAAAAGGUGAUGCCAAGCAAUUUCGAGCCAUCAUCAACACCUAUUAUUCACUAUCGGGAAGUUGCGUGACAGCGUUUGCCGUCUCGUCUCUUGUUUUCAACUGCUUCGUGUGCGCUGAAGAUAACAGACGACGCAGUUUUAACAUGGCAAAUAUAUUACUAGCCUACUUAAAAGACGGAUGAAAUUUGGUUAGGAUAAUUGAAUGCCGAUAUACAGGUUGUUUUUCAAAACUCGACCCUUGUUGGUGGAGUUGUGAUCGGUACAUCUGCCGAUAUGAUGAUCAACAUAUGGGGAGCCAUGAUAAUUGGUGGUUUAGCUGGAGCAGGAUCUAUAUUCAUAAAUCGUUUUUCAACCGUAAGUGACGAUUUAGAUAUCAUGGCAUUAAAUUUCGUUCGUUUAAUUAAGUUUCUAAUCGCGUGUUCUUACUUUAAGACGAAAGCUGUUCACCGUAUAAUUGGAAUACGCAACGCAUGGGGAGUAAUCUCUUUGCACGGAAUCCCAGGUAUUGUAGCUGGUUUUGUGGGCGCAAUUGUAUCGGCCGCUGCGACUAAGGAAGAUUAUGGUUUCAGGUUCUAGAUCUAGAUAACAAAUAAUUUUGCUGGGUGUUGAUUUGAAGAAGAAAUUUUCUUGGGUCACGACAGCCUUUACCGACAGUUUUCAGCACGAUCUCCACUCAAUAGUUCCAGCGAGUUAUCAAAAAUUCAGUACUACGAUUUAAAAAUUGACCCUGGUCGAGAAAGAACAGCUUUACAACAAGCAGGAUUUCAGAUUGUUACACUUAUCGUGACCCUAGUUAUCGCAAUUAUAGGAGGCCUUGUAACAGGGACGAUUCUUUCGUUGUCUUUCUUCCGUCAACCGUAUGAAGAAAAUGACUCGCAACCUGAUCAGCUAACGCUUGUUGUUGACCAGUUAUUGCUCUCUGAAAGACGUUUAAACGUUAUUAAUGCAACCAACUAAACUAGUGCAAUCGUUAUUUUGACCGAGAAUUUGUCGUCCACUUGUUAACUGGUAAAGCCGUUUGAGCUGGUAAAACACUAAAAUUGAUAAAGCAAAUGCUGACGUUUGGUUUUAUUACUUUUCAAAGCGAAACUUUGCGUUUCUUUUUCUCUCCUAAGUUUCAGACAAGGAAUACAAAGUGUAAUAUGUAAAAAUAACAAAUAUUAAUUUAAAAAUUCAUUAUAAUAGAGAAACUGAGAAAGUAACUGACGCGUACCCCCCACCUACCCCUGGUUUGUGAACGCACUCCGGAGGAAUCCGCCAUGUUUCCACCUUGUUCGUGUUUCUCUUGAGUGAUUCGCAUAGGGGGGAUUCCUUAUGAAAACGACCAAAACCUGUGGCGACCAUCUCACGGAUUUGAUCGCCACUAAC